rnacentral:tRNA from 1 species
AGGACGCCAGGUUUUCAACCUGGAAAGAGGGGUUCGAUUCCCCU